rnacentral:rRNA from 1 species
UUGGGUUAAGUGUGCGCAGGCGGAUGCUUAAGCCAGACGUGAAAUCCCUGGGCUUAACCUAGGAAUGGCGUUUGGAACUGGGCAUCUAGAGUGUGGCAGAGGGAGGUGGAAUUCCUGGUGUAGCAGUGAAAUGCGUAGAGAUCAGGAGGAACACCGAUGGCGAAGGCAGCCUCCUGGGCUGACACUGACGCUCAUGCACGAAAGCUAGGGGAGCAAACGGGAUUAGAUA